GAUGAACGCUGGCGGUAUGCUUUACACAUGCAAGUCGUACGAGAAUUUUUAAUUCAAGUGGCGGACGGGUGAGUAACACGUAAGAAUUUGCCUUUAGGAGGGGGAUAACAACUGGAAACGGUUGCUAAUACCCCAUAUGCUUUCGAGUGAAAUGGAGUUUUCCGCCUAAAGAGAAGCUUGCGGCUGAUUAGCUUGUUGGUAAGGUAAUGGCUUACCAAGGCGACGAUCAGUAUCUGGUUUGAGAGGACGAUCAGACACACUGGAACUGAGACACGGUCCAGACUCCUACGGGAGGCAGCAGUGGGGAAUUUUCCGCAAUGGGCGAAAGCCUGACGGAGCAAUACCGCGUGAGGGAUGAAAGCCUAUGGGUUGUAAACCUCUUUUUUCAGGGAGGAACAAAAUGACGUGUACCUGAAGAAUAAGCAUCGGCUAACUCCGUGCCAGCAGCCGCGGUAAGACGGGGGAUGCAAGUGUUAUCCGGAAUCACUGGGCGUAAAGCGUCUGUAGGUGGUUAAGUAAGUCAACUGUUAAAUCUUGAGGCUUAACCUCAAAAUCGCAGUCGAAACUGCUUGACUAGAGUAUAGUAAGGGUAAAGGGAAU
rnacentral:rRNA from 1 species